GGGAGGCAUGGAAGCGAGGACGCAAGUCUUCGUGGAGCCGCCGUUGGGAUACCACCCUUGAUGUAUCGGAAUUCUAACCGUAGGAGUAACGAAACUCGGGACAGUGUCAGGCGGGCAGUUUGACUGGGGCGGUCGCCUCCUAAAGAGUAACGGAGGCGCGCGAUGGUUGGCUCAGACCGGUCGGAAAUCGGUCGUUGAGUGCAAUGGCAGAAGCCAGCCUGACUGCAAGUCUGACAAGACGAGCAGAGACGAAAGUCGGUCAUAGUGAUCCGGUGGUCCCGAGUGGAAGGGCCAUCGCUCAACGGAU
rnacentral:rRNA from 1 species